UGUUCCUGCCCCUUUGGAUAUCACUAAAACACCUAAUUUUUAGGAAAUCUCUUAACUCCAGAAAAAUUUAAGGUAAAAACCCCCUCUAGAAAAAUCCUCAUAUAGGAUAUCCAGACCUCAAUAGACAAUAGGGGGGGGGCUAUUAAAUGGAAUGGCCUAUCUGACUUGGUGAGUGGUCACUACCACCAAAGGAAAAUGAAACAUGCUGGCCUGCUUUACAUACAGAAUAAAUUUUGAAGCAUUUCUACUGUUACUUGUGACGAUAAUCACAUUUGAUGAGAAAAUAUGGAGUCUUUCUGUAUGUUAGUGAUGUGAUCUCAUUGUUCAUAUUAAAAGCUGAAAUAGUUUGAAACUCGUGUGAAAAUAAAUCCAGUAUAAAUGUACAGUACGUACCUUGAUAUACGG